AACGCACGAGACCUGCGGACCUGCGGAAGGAUCAUUAACGAAUUGUAAAGGAGAGUUUGAUGCUGGCAGCAAUGCAUGUGCUCGCUCUCCGACUAUUCAUUAUCCAUACACCUGUGAACCUUUGAGGUGGAUUCGGAGUUGCAAAACUUGGAGUCCCCUCUUUAUCAUUUACAAACCCUUCUAUCGAAUAUCGAACGUGAAUUGAACCGUAAAAGGUCAUAAAUCUAUACAACUUUCAAC
rnacentral:misc_RNA from 1 species